AUAGGUCAGAGGUGGAAGCAUGGCGACAUGUGGAGCUGACUGAUACUAAUCGUUCGAGGACUUAACCAAAUU
rnacentral:rRNA from 1 species